rnacentral:rRNA from 1 species
UAGAGGAAGGAGAAGUCGUAACAAGGUUUCCGUAGGUGAACCUGCGGAAGGAUCAUUGUCGAAAUCGAACGGAAGAACGACACGCGAAUCGUCAUUGCGUACUAGACAGAGCCCGUGAGCACCUAACGCUCACGGGGCUCGCGUCGCGUCGGAGCGGGUGUCCUCGAGACGCGUCGUACCGGCGGACAAACAAUGUCAGCACGGAUCGUGCCAAGGAGCUUUAUUGAGAGAAUCGUCGUCCCACGCCUUUGACAGUCCUCGAUGCGGGACGGGGGGCGGGGGGGAUGUACGCAAUCUCUACCCAAAGUCUGAACGACUCUCGGCAACGGAUAUCUCGGCUCUUGCAUCGAUGAAGAACGUAGCGAAAUGCGAUACUUGGUGUGAAUUGCAGAAUCCCGCGAACCAUCAAUUCUUUGAACGCAAAUCCCCUUGCCCCUAGGCACCCGCAUGAGCAUUGGCGGGGACAUAUGCUCGGGCGCAGAAUAUGGUCUCCCGUGGSAUCGGCAUGCACGGCAYGUCGAGGUGCGGUUSGCCGAAAAUCGAGCAUGGCGGUGACGGGCACSACGGCGUUCGGUGGAUCGAAUGAGAUUGGVUGCGCCGUGGGCUCGGCAUGCGGCGGGCUCCGGACUUUGAUUAUCCUCGAGUGCGAUCCCAGGUCAGGCGGGGCUACCCGCUGAGUUUAAGCAUAUCAAUAAGCGGAGGAAAAGAAACUAACGAGGAUUCCCU